rnacentral:rRNA from 1 species
GACGAACGCUGGCGGCGUGCUUAACACAUGCAAGUCGAACGAAGAGCGACGGAAGCUUGCUUCUAUCAAUCUUAGUGGCGAACGGGUGAGUAACGCGUAAUCAACCUGCCCUUCAGAGGGGGACAACAGUUGGAAACGACUGCUAAUACCGCAUACGAUCUAACCUCGGCAUCGAGGAUAGAUGAAAGGUGGCCUCUACAUGUAAGCUAUCACUGAAGGUGGGGAUUGCGUCUGAUUAGCUAGUUGGAGGGGUAACGGCCCACCAAGGCGAUGAUCAGUAGCCGGUCUGAGAGGAUGAGCGGCCACAUUGGGACUGAGACACGGCCCAGACUCCUACGGGAGGCAGCAGUGGGGAAUCUUCCGCAAUGGACGAAAGUCUGACGGAGCAACGCCGCGUGAGUGAUGACGGCCUUCGGGUUGUAAAGCUCUGUUAAUCGGGACGAAAGGCCUUCUUGCGAAUAGUGAGAAGGAUUGACGGUACCGGAAUAGAAAGCCACGGCUAACUACGUG